rnacentral:tRNA from 1 species
GGCUUCGGUGGCCCUGGCUUCGGCGGUCCGGGCUUCGGCCCCGGCGGCCGCGGUCGCGGUCCCGGCCGGCGUGCCGGGCGCGGCGACAUCC